rnacentral:rRNA from 1 species
CCUACGGGAGGCAGCAGUGAGGAAUAUUGGUCAAUGGCCGAGAGGCUGAACCAGCCAAGUCGCGUGCGGGAAGACGGCCCUCCGGGUUGUCAACCUCUUUUGUCGGGGCGCCAAGCGAGUCCCGUGUGACUCAUUGAGAGUCCCCGAAGACAAAGCAUCGGCUAACUCCGUGCCAGCAGCCGCGGUCAUACGCAGGAUGCUAUCGUUAUCCGGCUUUAUUUGGUUUAAAUGGUGCGUAGGCGGUGCGUUAAGUCAGCGGUAAAAUUGUGGGGUUAACCCCCGUCGUGCCGUUGAAACUGGCAGACUGGAGUUGGCGAGAGGUACGCGGAAUGCGCGGGGUAGCGGUGAAAUGCAUAGAUAGCGCGCAGAACUCCGAUUGCGAAGGCAGCGUACCGGCGCCAAACUGACGCGGAGGCACGAAAGCGUGGGGAUCGAACAGGAUUAGAUACCCGAGUAGUC